rnacentral:lncRNA from 1 species
GUAAGACUGGAGCUCAGUGAAUGAGAAAAUCCUAUGUGAUCCUUAGUUAUCUGGGUUUCCUGACUUUGCCAAGCUCCUUAAGUUUCUAGCCCUUACUCUGCUGACAGACACCUAUGAAGAAAUUGGGGGGAUCUUUAGCCUGGAGAAGAGAACAUUUACAAGGGGACAGGAUAAUUUUCUUCAAAUAUUUGUAGGUCUGUCAUGUGGAAGAUGGAUUAAGACUUGCUCUGCUUAGCACCAGAGGCCAAACCUAGAAAGAAUGCCUGAAAGCUGCAGAGAGGCAAAAGUAAGCUGAAUGUCAGGAAGAAGAAAACUUCCUAACAACUAGAGAUGUUGGAAGGUAUAACCAGAUGCUUCCCAAGCCAAGAGGUUCCUCAUUAUUGGAGAUCUUCAAGCAAAGGCUGGAGGAUCCUUCAUUGGGAAAGAAAGGAACAAUGCAGUGUAUAAUUUGGACAAGCUCUUCCUGCUCUAAGGACCAAGAAGGGAAGGAAGGUUGCAAAGGAAAAGAUGGAACAUGGAAGAAUAGAUGAUUGAUGGGCAAGGACCAUUGGUAGCAGAGGACCAUGGAAGACAAGAACAGAACUGGAAGAACUCCAAAAGGAACUCUGGGCUUUUGAGCUGGGAUCUCAACAUGGCAGGAAACAGUUUUCUUUGCUGGAGAUCUUGUCAAGAGCCAAUGGAGGAUUUCCAGGAUUCCUCUUCUAUGUCUGCAUGUCAACACUUAUUUUGUAAAUUGAGUCAAUCACAGAAUUUUGCAGCUUCCUCUGGGAAGGCAAAGAUAGCUUUAAGGUGAUUUUGAUGAGACUUGACUAUGCUGGAAAACUGUUGACUGAACUUCACAACUCUGUCAGACAGAGAUUACAUGCCCGUUGUGUCAGCUGUUGAGGCAGCACUGAGUUUUGAUGUAUGUCAUAUGACACAUUUUUCUAGGUGUGGGGAAAUAGAGGAAGUCUCUGAAUUUUCUCACCUGAGAACCUAUGAAGUCAGUUCUCAAGCUACCAACUAAUAUGAGUCUACUUCCAUAGUUAUUGAUUAAUUUUUGUGUUUUCUAUUAUAUGAUAUCACAGUCCCUGAUUUACAGUUUCAAGCUAAGGUAAAGACUAGAACAGAGAAGUGUUGUAGGUCUGACCACCUCAGAGCACUGGCAGACUCCAUCAUGAGGAAGUUUCCACCACUUCUGCUGACUCCAUGUGGCUCCAGAUAUUCAGUUUCUUAACCACUGUAUUCAUUUGCAAAUUUUUAUUUAAUAAAAUUACAGAAGAG